CACUGUACAGCUGCCACAGCAUUAACCUUUUAAGUUAAAGAUUGAGAAAACACCUUUCUCUGUAGUGA
rnacentral:tRNA from 1 species